UAUGGCAUUAUUUUUUUAAAACAACUAUCAUGAAACACUAGUAUAGUAACCCGUGCGAUACGAUGGAUAGAUAAUUGGAGAAAAAAUAAAAAACGACGACAAAGGAAGAAAAAAGGGUAAUGAAGGAAACGACGAUAAAGAUUGAGAUUUAUCUUGCCGAUGAAGGAAACUGAAGGAAGAUGAAGAAUAGUUCGGCUCAAUGUAGAGGUGUGAGGUGUGACCCAAUUUAGUUCAAGCCAAAAAAAAAGGUUGACCUGGUUCGAUUCAAGUAAAGAAAGAGUAAAAUUAGGCAUUUUAAGCCAAAAAAAGAGACCAUAUAGAAGCCUUGAACUAGUUCAGAAAAGCCCAUACUUAACAAUAAUCAGUUCAAGAAAGAGAAAAAUCCAGUUCGAUUCAAGUGAAAAAAGAAGAAAACAUGCGAAAAAUCUUAGCUAGUUCUAAUUAGAGCCCACACUCAACAAUGAAGGAUAUAUUGCCAUAUGGUAUAAUGUAUAGGUAUAGAUAGAGGGUAAACUAAAUUUUCAAAAAUGAAGGAGAUAAGAUAAUUACAAUAAU
rnacentral:lncRNA from 1 species